rnacentral:lncRNA from 1 species
CCACUAACCUUGGUGAUAACCCCAAGGAAUGCAGUUUCGGCGAUAACCCCGGAACUGCUUGUUUCAAAUGCGACCAGCUUCAAUCUCGGCACUCACAACGAGAUACACUGUACCAACCCGGCAAUAACAUCGGGAAGACAAGCACACCUCAAAAGAUGACAAUGAGGACCUUCAACAAAUUGCAGCAGUCCAAUCUCAGCGAAGCCUAAGCAACGUCUUCUUUAUCAGCCUAAUCCGGCGAUAACACCGG